rnacentral:lncRNA from 1 species
UAAUGUUUCGUGAAGUUUAGUUCAAAUUAAUAGAGAGAUUAGUGCAUAAAGUAUUUAGGGUAUUUUGAAGCUAAAUUUGUUUUAAAAUUCGUCAUUUUAGUGAAAUUAUGUGGAACACAAUGCGUUCUUUUCAACUCGUCUUGGUUGUUGUAAAGAGACAUCGGGCAUUGUAAUGAAUAGAUGAAAAUGUGUCGGUGGCAAACCUACACCAUGUGGAUUUCUUGGUGGAUAUCUUGGGCAAAUGUGCAAUAUGAUGGAUAUCUUGGGCAAAUAUCUUGUAUAAAUUGGUACAAUUACUUACCAAUUACUAAAGAAGGAUGAUGUUUUAAGGUUAGUGGAUAUUUAUAAUAGUGAUAAAAUGGGGGUUCCCUGUGAAUAGGAACGAAGGCUGUCCAAUUAAGUGGAAACAAUAUUGCGGCGUGUAACAAUUUGAUCUGUAAAAAUGAUACAUGUUUAUACAACUACAUGCUGUGUUGGGUUGUUAGGGUUGAAUAAGUUUUUAGCAGGCGUGAUUUAGGAAUUUUUUUUAGGAUUUUCUAUAAAUUUAGUCUGUGCCCUGACUGCCCCCCACACCCCAGGUCAAAAAAUAUGCCAGAUUUGUAAAUUCUACCAAAUUUAUUCAUCCCAAAAAAUUAAAUGCUCUCUUGUGUGGCAAUGUCUGCCCAACAACACCCAGAAACUUAAUUGGUAAAACCGGUAUACUCGUCUCAAAAUUAGCUAAGCAAAUUUAUGCAAGUAUAAUUUUGAAAUGAACAAAUAAAAAACUGCCGAUCAUAUUUCGCUGGUAGCUGUACGGCAUUAGCGUCGAAUGACAGCAGACUGUAAUCCCGUGGGGGAUUGGGUCAUUGCAUUUUUAAACCAAACCCCCCCUAUUGAGGACAUCCAUUUUUGGUCCCCCCUCCCCUGGAAUUUCCACAUUUUUUAAGCGAAUUUUUUGCCUCCCCCGUGGAAUUUCCGCAGAUUUUUAUUGAAUUUUAGCCAUCCCCAUGGAAUUUCCGCAAAUUUUUUAUGAACUUUUAACCCAUCCCAUGGAAAUUCCUUGACAGUUUUUGAUCUAGCCAGUGGAAAUUCCAUAUUGAUUCUUUGAUUAGUAGCUAUCCCUUGGAAAAUUCCUUGCUGAUUUUGAUCCUAUCCUUUGGAAUUUCUUGUUGACCCUCCCAUGGAAAUUCCAUACGUUUUACUCAUUUUUCUUACCUACCCUUUGGAAUUUCCGCAGAUUUGCUUUAAAAUUUGGACCCUCCCAUGGAAAUUCCUUCAUUUUUGGUUCACUUUUGCAGGGGGCCAUUGGAAAUUCCACAUGUCCUCAAUAGGGGGGGUGCAGAUAAAAAAUGCAAUGGCCCAUUGCAACAUAAUAAUGCAUGUAAUAUAUGGUUGUACUUGUAAAAUUUAUAAUUGGUGCGUGACGAGCGAGGUUGAAGCGAGCAGGCGAAGCAGCAUUCUAAUAUAUACAGAUGGGGGGCGGUUGAAGUAAAUUUUAUUUAGGUAUUGCAUUGUCGUCAUGUGUGCUUGCUAUGCACAGAACAGACUUGCUAUGCACAGAGUGUCCCAUAGCAGUAUCCAUAAGUUGUUGAUCAGGAACAUAUAAUAUUUCACAAAAUAAAAAUUAUUAAAUAUAAAUAUAUAUAUAUUUCUUGUAACGUUUGGGACAACUUUGCUUUCUUUAACGUGUAGCAUAAUUUGUCUUUGUCAUUCUGUGCAAGUAUUCACGGCAAAGAAAAUAUGCAGGCAUUAAAUAUUUCCUGCAUUAUUUCUCAAUCCUUGCUCAAUGAGAAAAACAUACUUAAUUUUGUAAUAUAGGAAAAAAUAGAGUUUCUGUAAUAUGUAUGUAUCUGAAACAACUACAUGCUAUGUUGAUAGGAAUUUGAUGUUUUUAUUUUUAGUAGGCAUGAUUUAGGAUUUUUGUUUCUAUUCAUGAUUUUCUAUAAAUGGGGUGUCCAACUAAUUUGAGAUAUGUUAUGAAUUUAUGAUAUCUUUACCACAUAAAAGAGUGGCAGUGUCAUCACAACAGUAUAAAAACCAAUUACUGUGGGUGUGGGCUCUAUUUUACAAAUACUAUAUAAAUAUACAAUACCAUAAUUUACGAGAAUAAAUACAACUAUCAGGAACAACAAGAGAGUGGAGUAGCAAGACUAUGAGAAGUGUUACAUUUCAAACAGAUUGAUUUCCAAGUCUGGGGAUUUUCAGAUUCAUAGUUUAUAUUGAUAGCAGUAAUGUAAUAUCUGUAUAACAUACAGUUGUUAAAUUUUUUAACGUCUCUCUGGAGCCUGCAGGAGGUGAGACCCUGGGAACGAGGAUGGGCUCAUAUUUGUUCUUAAGAGUUUUUUGUUGGGCAUAUAGAUGGGGGGAGUCGUAUAUGGGGGUAUUUUGAUAUCGUAUAUAUCAAAAUCUAAGUUAGUCCUUUAUGAACACAAUAUACAAUUACUUUAUGGUUUCCGUGUUUGGAUGGCCUGAUCCAAACACGCGGGAAUGUUGCGAGAGUUAAGAAAAGCGAGCGAAAUCACGAGCCGAAGGCGAGUGAUUUUGCCCGCUUUUCUUAACUCGAGCAACAUUCCCAAGUGUUUGGAUCAGUCCAUCCAAACACGGAAACCAUAAAGUAAUUGUUUUAUAAAAUAACAACAACACGGUAGUCUUCCGUGUUUGGAUGGCCUGAUCCAAACACGGCUUUCGACCAAUCAGAAUACGCGUUAUAUACAUGUUAUUUUAUAAUAAAACUUAUUUGAGUGUAAUAAAAUAAAUAAAUCAAUGUCAUUGCUGUUGAAAUGACUUAAUUCAUUACUAACAAUACUAAAGCUUGUGAUGCUGAUAAUAUACCAUCCAGCGUCUAUUUUUGGCAAAAUUGUUGCACAUACCAUAUUCCAAUGUUUGUGAUGUGACCAUUGCAUAUGGCUGUCAAAAACGUCAAGAUUAGUUAGAUUAUUGUUUUCUAAAACAUUGCACGGCUCGUGAUUUUAGAACUAUUUUUGUGCUUUAACCCAUUGAGUGGCAGCACUCUCCACUUGACAAGUAAAAUCCUGUGGCGUUAGAUAGUAAAAUACUAAAGUAGGGUGCAUCGGGGCACAAUGCAACUUAAGUAAAGGGUUAACCAAAACAAAGUUCAUAAAAAAAUUUUUCACACAGUACCGGUACCAUGCCUGUUUGUAUUUUGAAGUUCCCCGAGUACAGCAUCUGAUGCACAAGACUUUGCUCUUGAUGAGUAAAAUGAUCUGAUAUCAGACAUUUGAGUUCCUUUGCAGCUUAAGGAGUUAAUCCUAUUUAUCUUGGAGAACAGCAAUUCAACUAUCUGGCUGGCUUGACAAAUAAAAUUAAGCAGGGGGUGCACUGGCAGUUAAUGGGUAACUAGACACUUGGGCAGUCUCAUUAUGAAGCAUAAAAUCGUCUGGCGUUGGACAGUAAAAUACUCAAGUAGAGCAUGCAUCAGGGCACAGUACAACCUAACGGUUUAAUUUGGGGGGUUUUUGUAGCAAAAUGGUUUAAGUUUUAUAUCUGAAUUAAUUAUUGUUUUUUUGCUUUGUUUUACAGAUCAUUACUGAACAUGCUGAUGAAAUAUUGAUUUAUAAAAUAUCAUGUUACCAAGAUGACAUGCCUUGAAGAGCAAUACAGGAGGGAAUACCUCUAUUUCUAAUCAAAUUACAACAACACACCAAAGACAGUAGUUAUGAUCACGAAGCUAUGAAUUUAAAGAAAAUGUACCAAACGACAAAGACGAUGAUGAAAUUGGAUGCCUCGGAUGAAAUGAAAGGAUUGAUCAAAUGUCCAUGGUCAGCAGUGGAUAUUUGUGACUAUAAUAAAUGGAUACAAAGAAACUAUGAUGGAUAAAUAUGGCCCCGUAAUGGAUAUUCAGUUAAUGGACAUACAAAGGUCACAGAAAUGUCCACUCUCAGGUAUUGUUCUUUCUUGUUUGCCUGCGAACAGGCUGUAGAUACUUGUAUCCAGGCCAUCCAUUGUUUGUUUUGUUGUUCUGGGUACAAUGAAAUCCGGCAUAAAUCCUGGCGGUCUAAAUGUUCAGUAUAUUUACACAUUCGAUCUAUUUUCUGUUCAGUAGACUUUGAUAGCUUGAACGAAAGUUUAUAACGAUGAUUUUCUUUGCAAAAACUGUACUUUCGAAAUUCGUCAGCUUCUGAAUUUGAAAACCGAUCUGAAAAAAAAAGAGGGAACAUUUGAGUGUAUGGUUAUUGCAUGGUUUCCCUCUGUGUAAAUAUACUGCCUUGGUGCAUACGCAUUACAAGCGCAGCAACACAAUAGUUUAGACAGGGUCAUGAGGCAGGAUGUGUGCAAGAAAAGCUUUGCCAGAGUUUUGUCUUUCGAAAUACAACGACGAUUGUAAAUUGCUGUUUGAUUCUUUGUAAUAUCUCGUCGCUUUGUUAGUAAAAAAGAAUUUGUCACUUCCCUCAUCUAAACCUUUAAAAAAAAACUGGCAUCGUUGGUCUUGGGGUUAGGGGGUACAAAUGGUACCCAUAGCUUAGAGGGUGCAAAUGGUACCCGUAAGAAGACUUGGUGGAAAUCAUGUUGGUCGUUUGGAUCGGCGAGAAUAAGACAAUUAUGGCGGCAAAGUUUUUUUAAACAUUUUCUCUCCCGUAGUAAGGUAAAGCAUGUAUUUUCCUGGUAGCCGGUCUUACUUCAUGAAAAAACAGUCCGCUACCAGUGACUAGGUCCCCUCUCUUAUGGCGGUCAUUGCGGCUAAUACCUUCAGGGAUAUUCCUUUUCAGGGCGGUUGCAUGCGGAUAAUAUGGUCCGUCGCGUGCGCAAAAUAGUUAGGGAGAUAGACAGUUUAGAGGCGUCGAAACUGCGCAAUAUACACUCGCACGAAACGUCGCUAUUUUGCAAUUUGAAUCUGGGUUGUGCGUUUCUGGCAAAUGCCUUUAGAUUCAAGUUGUUACGACAUUUACAAGCGCAUUACUGUCGUUCCAAUUGAAGUGUUCCUCAAAUAUCGAUUCAAUACAUUACCUCGGGCUGACCAAUUCAUUUCAUCAAGUUCCUCGAAAUAUUCAUACACUUCCUUACUUAAUUGUAAACUUCCUGUUGAAUAGUUUGAAUGCACCAAUCACCUUUGUUGUUUGUGCAACUACCAAUCAUAAAUAGAAAGGAAGUGACCAGAAAUUAUCAAAUUCUUGGAAUUGGCUCUUUCACAGGAAGUGUAUGAAUAUCUCGAGGAACUUGAUGAAAUGAAUUGGUCAGCCUGAGGUAAUGUAUUGAAUCAACAUUUGAGGAACACUUCAAUUGGAACGACAGUAAGUGUAAAUACGGCAUUACUUUUAAUGAAAAGACCGCCAGGGUUAGAGUGUUUUUAUGUUUGGUUUGUUAA